AGUGAACGCUGGCGGUAGGCCUAACACAUGCAAGUCGAACGGCAGCACAGUAAGAGCUUGCUCUUACGGGUGGCGAGUGGCGGACGGGUGAGGAAUACAUCGGAAUCUACUUUUUCGUGGGGGAUAACGUAGGGAAACUUACGCUAAUACCGCAUACGACCUACGGGUGAAAGCAGGGGAUCUUCGGACCUUGCGCGAUUGAAUGAGCCGAUGUCGGAUUAGCUAGUUGGCGGGGUAAAGGCCCACCAAGGCGACGAUCCGUAGCUGGUCUGAGAGGAUGAUCAGCCACACUGGAACUGAGACACGGUCCAGACUCCUACGGGAGGCAGCAGUGGGGAAUAUUGGACAAUGGGCGCAAGCCUGAUCCAGCCAUACCGCGUGGGUGAAGAAGGCCUUCGGGUUGUAAAGCCCUUUUGUUGGGAAAGAAAAGCAGCAGGUUAAUACCCCGCUGUUCUGACGGUACCCAAAGAAUAAGCACCGGCUAACUACGU
rnacentral:rRNA from 1 species